rnacentral:lncRNA from 1 species
CCUUUCUGCAGGGAGAAGCGGCCCAGUGACCUGUCCAAGUGCAGGAAGUGAAUCCAUGUGCAGGAGCCUCCAGAUCCUAGGAAAAAGGGUGGCUCGGGUGUUGAGAGCCACGGCCAGGUCAAGAUGGUGCCUGGCAUUUGCCAGAAGGGGGGCUCCUGCUGCACAGUUCUUGUGGGUGGAGUUCGCGUGGGUGAGAAAAUAAAGUUCAUUCCUGCUUGAAUCUACAAGUGGCUCAUGACCCCCCUGUUAUUUGUGCCCAGCCAGACUGCCGCACAGCAUCAUUUUGUUAUCAGUGCUCUCCCUUCCCCCAUUUUCUCCUUGAAUUCUAAUAUUGAUGUCUAUUUCAUUUCAUCUUUCCUAGAGAACCAGAGGCUUAAGUUUGAAUGUUGGGACAUCUUUGUUGUAUGCAUGAGCAGUCAUUUACCAUUCUUUUCUCUAUGAGCAGGCUCUUCAGUUUCCCAGUUAGAUGUGAUUUCCCAGCUAAAGUGGAUUGAAUUGCCAAGGGUGCUGGCCAAAGAAAUCUCAAAAGACUCCAGACCUGGUGAGUUGGUGAAAGGUAGGUAAGAACCUUGAAUGCAGUUGCUCACCAAGUCAGUUGGGAAGAGCCUUUGUAAUGUUGGGCAGCCUAUAUGCUAAAACAUAAGGAUGUGGAAGAGAGCCCUGCCCCUUUUGGAGUGUUCUUUUUAGUUUGAGAGACUGUUGGUUUUGGUCCUUUGAGAUGUAGAUGCCAAGGGUGAUUUCCCAUGCAAGAGAUUUAUUUUGGAAAAUUCCAAUGAAAACAAAUGGGAAGGGAGCUGGAAGAAGCCAGAGAGCUAUUACAGCAUGAUGUAAGUUUAACCUCUAUGAAUGAGGUGGGGAAGGGGGAAAGAUUGGGAAGGAAGAAUCUUGAACUGAAGAGUAGUUGUGAGAAAGUUUAGGGAAGGCCAAAGAGGAAUCCUAUGUCUCACAGAAAUGGGCCUAACUAUCCAUUGUUGGGGAAUAGCCUGUGGGCAAGUGGUCUUGCUGUGAGUACAGUGGUGGAUCACGGUAUCGGUAUCAGUAAGGACUGUAAGAUAGUCUCCUCACAGGAAGAGCUCUGAGAGGCAUAUCUUUAUAAUACUGAAAAGAUGUGAUCUGGAGUGUAUCUUACCAAUAGAGUACUUGCCUAGCAUGUUUAAGGCCUUGGAUUUGAUCCCCAGCACUGCAAAAAAAAAAAAAAAAAA